GCUCCUGCCCGGGCCAGGACAGGCUCCUUCGCAGCUUGGAGACCUCCAUUCAAUUUUCACGCUUUGUCUUUUAUUAUGGAUAUAACCGGAAUAAAAUAAGAUAGACUUUCCCCGUUAUUAUUAGAGGUGAUAAUUUGCAGCCUUUAAGUGCGUUGCCAUGGAGACGCGAGAAGCCCCCGAAGAGGGAGGCCGGGAUCCGCGGCCUAAUCCCGAGAAUUAUUGGUUAUGUGCACUUUAUUAACAUCUGAAGAAAGUAUGAUGGGAGAUGAGAAGCUAGCGGAAAGCUAUGUCAGAUCCCCAAAAUGCUGCACAGCGUAUUCCCAGGAACAGCCAGUGUGGAGCUGCAGUGGGAAUGCUCUGCUGUCAUAGAGGAUUCCCUUUUUCAGAUAGAGGAAACAGGAGAGCUAUCGUCAGCCAUAGCCAGUGUAUGGGAUAUUUGACGACAAACUUCCACAGUAUAUAGCAGAAAUACAGCUCAACACUGUAUUAAUAAAUAUGUACUUACUCA